rnacentral:rRNA from 1 species
UCAAGAAACUUCCACAAUGGGCGAAAGCCUGAUGGAGCGACGUCGCGUGAUGGACGAAGUGCUUCGGCACGUAAACAUCUUUUAUGUGGGAUGAAAUUAUUGACAGUACCACAUGAAUAAGGGGCUCCUAACUCUGUGCCAGCAGGAGCGGUAAUACAGAGGCCCCAAGCGUUAUCCGGAAUCACUGGGCGUAAAGGGCGUCGAGGCGGUUGUAUUAGUCGUUCGUAAAAUCUACGAGCUUAACUUGUAGGCGGCGAACGAAACGGUACGACUUGAGGUUUGGAGAGGUGCGUGGAACUCACGGUGUAGGGGUGAAAUCCGUUGAUAUCGUGGGGAACACCAAAGGCGAAGGCAGCGCACUGGCCAAAAUCUGACGCUCACACACGAAAGCUAGGGUAGCGAAGAGGAUUAGAUACCCAAGUAGUCCCUGAGCGGGCUGGCAAGGCGCAU